UACGGAGGAUCCGAGCGUUAUCCGGAUUCAUUGGGUUUAAAGGGUGCGUAGGUUGUUUUAUAAGUUAGCGGUGAAAUACCGAUGCUCAACAUCGGGGCUGCCGCUGAUACUGUAGGACUAGAGAUCGGAUGCAGCAGGCGGAAUGUGUAGUGUAGCGGUGAAAUGCAUAGAUAUUACACAGAACACCGAUUGCGAAGGCAGCUUGCUAGGCCGGAUCUGACACUGAUGCUCGAAAGCAUGGGUAGCGAACAGG
rnacentral:rRNA from 1 species